AUUUCACACCACUUUUAGCAUUCUAAACUGCAGACAAUAUGAUCUAGAUUUGUAUAUAGAUCUAAACUUACUUCACUUUUACAAGUACGUAAAUAAUUGUGAGAAUUGAAUUGAUUACAAAUAUGUGUCAGUUUAUUUUGAUUAAUGUUGAUUAGUAGAAUGCAUUCUAAAAUUUUUUUAAGACUGUAAAAGGGAAUCCAAACUGACAACAUUGCUGCUGCCAUUGAAUUUAACUUGAAAGGUUGAGAAAUAUCAUAUUAUUAAGGAUUACAUAAUUCUCCUAAUUAAUAUUCUGAGUUUUAAUUUAAGGCAUAUGAAUUAGGAAACAGGAGACGCAAAUCUAUUGGGUGAUCAUAACAAUGCUAAUGCAUGUAGUUUUUGCUAGUUUUCUGACAUGUAGACAAUGGAACUUGCCGUUUCAUGUAUUAAUGAUGGAGAUCUUGUAACAAUACAUUUUUCGAUCUAACUAGCUCGAUGUAGAAAUGACCAGCAUUUUGGAAUAAGAUAUGUGUCCACUGACAACUUUGGGUUACACAAUAGAUUUUACCAAGGAAAUCGUAACCAAUACAUUUUAUACUUGUGAACCCUGGGCUUGCAGGUGGUUCAUGCCGUUAAAGGAAGAGUUCCAAUUCUUAUGGAUGGAGGAGUGCGGCGAGGAACAGAUGUUUUCAAGGCAUUGGCCCUCGGUGCACAAGCUGUACUUGUAAGCUUUUCACAACUUCACCUUUAAGUUUUUGAAUUUCAGUGGUGAGACUCUGGAGCCACAUUUCUUUUCUCUUUUGUUAACAGUUGAUUCCAGGGACACAAAAGUAACAUAGAAAUUUAUUUCAGCUGCAGUACUACUUUUGUUCGGGUCCUUAUUUGAUUACUAAACAAAUGUAUGUCAUAUGUUACUCCAGAUUGGAAGGCCUGUAGUCUACGGCCUUGCUGCAAAAGGGGAAUAUGGGGUGAGAUGCGUCAUUGAAAUGCUGAAGGAUGAGUUUGAGUUGACCAUGGCCCUUACUGGCUGUCCUAGUGUGAAACAUAUUACCAGGAACCAUGUGAGAACUGAGCAUGAGAGAAUCCAUUCGAUGCUGUAAUAUUAUUUUCUGUUGCAGAAAUGUCUAAAUGUAUGGAUGAAUUAAACCAUGAGCAAUCAUUUAAACUAAUUAAAUUUGAAGUAUUUUUACGGUUUAUAACAUUCUUUUUAAGGGUGCGUUUGACACACUCUAUUAUAUUAUGUUGUAUUGUAUUAUUUUAAUACAGUUGUAUUGUAUUAUUUUGUAUUGUAUUAGUAUUGAAUUAUAAUAAUAUUAUACAACAUUUGGUAUUACAUUGUACUGUAUUAAUUUUUAAUUAUAUCAUGUUUGGAGUUAUAUAUCUAAACUGCAGACAAUAUGAUCUAGAUUUGUAUAUAGAUCUAAACUUACUUCACUUUUACAAGUACGUAAAUAAUUGUGAGAAUUGAAUUGAUUACAAAUAUGUGUCAGUUUAUUUUGAUUAAUGUUGAUUAGUAGAAUGCAUUCUAAAAUUUUUUUAAGACUGUAAAAGGGAAUCCAAACUGACAACAUUGCUGCUGCCAUUGAAUUUAACUUGAAAUGUUGAGAAAUAUCAUAGUAUUAAGGAUUACAUAAUUCUCCUAAUUAACAUUCUGAGUUUUAAUUUAAGGCAUAUGAAUCAGGAAACAGGAGACGCAAAUCUAUAGGGUGCUCAUAACAAUGCUAAUGCAUGUAGUUUUUGCUAGUUUUCUGACGUGUAGACAAUGGAACUUGCCGUUUCAUGUAUUAAUGAUGGAGAUCUUGUAACAAUACAUUUUUCGAUCUAACUAGCUCGAUGUAGAAAUGACCAGCAUUUUGGAAUAAGAUAUGUGUCCCCUGACAACUUUGGGUUACACAAUAGAUUUUACCAAGGAAAUCGUAACCAAUACAUUUUAUACUUGUGAACCCUGAGCUUGCAGGUGGUUCAUGCCGUUAAAGGAAGAGUUCCAAUUCUUAUGGAUGGAGGAGUGCGGCGAGGAACAGAUGUUUUCAAGGCAUUGGCCCUCGGUGCACAAGCUGUACUUGUAAGCUUUUCACAACUUCACCCUUAAGUUUUUUUAAUUUCAGUGGUGAGACUCUGGAGCCACCUUUCUUUUCUCUUUUGUUAACAGUUGAUUCCAGGGACACAAAGGUAACAUAGAAAUUUAUUUCAGCUGCAGUACUACUUUUGUUCGGGUCCUUAUUUGAUUACUAAACAAAUGUAUGUCAUAUGUUACUCCAGAUUGGAAGGCCUGUAGUCUACGGCCUUGCUGCAAAAGGGGAAUAUGGGGUGAGACGCGUCAUCGAAAUGCUGAAGGAUGAGUUUGAGUUGACCAUGGCCCUUACUGGCUGUCCUAGUGUGAAACAUAUUACCAGGAAGCAUGUGAGAACUGAGCAGGAGAGAAUCCAUUCGAUGCUGUAAUAUUAUUCUGUUGCAGAAAUGUCUAAGGGUGCGUUUGACACACUCUAUUGUAUUAUGUUGUAUUGUAUUAUUUUAAUACAGUUGUAUUGUAUUAUUUUGUAUUGUAUUAGUAUUGAAUUAUAAUAAUAUUGUACAACAUUUGGUAUUACAUUAUACUGUAUUAAUUUUUAAUUAUAUCAUGUUUGGAGUUAUAUAUUUCAUUAUAUAUUAAUUUUUUUGGUGAUUAAUUUACAUUAUAUAUUUCAAAACAAUAUUUCUUAGUAGUUAAAAAAACCAUACUGCUGUACGGCCAAGGCGGAUGUACGGUACAGCAGAAAAGACUCUUUUCAUUUGUAAAACUUUUAUUUUCUGUAACUUUCUCACAGUUAAUUUGCUGCUGUACGGCCAAGGCGGAUGUACGGUACAGCAGCCUGUAGUCUACGGCCUUGCUGCAAAAGGGGAAUAUGGGGUGAGACGCGUCAUCGAAAUGCUGAAGGAUGAGUUUGAGUUGACCAUGGCCCUUACUGGCUGUCCUAGUGUGAAACAUAUUACCAGGAAGCAUGUGAGAACUGAGCAGGAGAGAAUCCAUUCGAUGCUGUAAUAUUAUUCUGUUGCAGAAAUGUCUAAGGGUGCGUUUGACACACUCUAUUGUAUUAUGUUGUAUUGUAUUAUUUUAAUACAGUUGUAUUGUAUUAUUUUGUAUUGUAUUAGUAUUGAAUUAUAAUAAUAUUGUACAACAUUUGGUAUUACAUUAUACUGUAUUAAUUUUUAAUUAUAUCAUGUUUG
rnacentral:lncRNA from 1 species